UAGGGAAUCUUCCGCAAUGGACGCAAGUCUGACGGAGCAACGCCGCGUGAGUGACGAAGGUCUUCGGAUCGUAAAGCUCUGUUGCCAAGGAAGAACGCCUGGGAGAGUAACUGCUCCCAGGGUGACGGUACUUGAGAAGAAAGCCCCGGCUAACUACGUGCCAGCAGCCGCGGUAAUACGUAGGGGGCAAGCGUUGUCCGGAAUUAUUGGGCGUAAAGCGCGCGCAGGCGGCCAUUUAAGUCUGGUGUUUAAGCCCGGGGCUCAACCCCGGUUCGCACUGGAAACUGGGAGGCUGGAGUGCAGGAGAGGGAAGCGGAAUUCCACGUGUAGCGGUGAAAUGCGUAGAGAUGUGGAGGAACACCAGUGGCGAAGGCGGCUUCCUGGCCUGUAACUGACGCUGAGGCGCGAAAGCGUGGGGAGCAAACA
rnacentral:rRNA from 1 species